AUGGUUGCGUCAGCAGCAUAUAUACUAAAAUCAAAACAACACAGGGAAGACAAGCAUGGCCCCUGCACAAGGAUGACAUGCAGAUUCUUGAAGCGUUCCAUAUUCUU
ensembl:snRNA U6 U6 spliceosomal RNA